rnacentral:rRNA from 1 species
UACAGAGGGGGCAAGCGUUGUUCGGAAUUACUGGGCGUAAAGGGCGCGUAGGCGGCCUUCUAAGUCGAACGUGAAAUCCCCGGGCUCAACCCGGGAACUGCGUCCGAUACUGGAAGGCUUGAAUCCGGGAGAGGGAUGCGGAAUUCCAGGUGUAGCGGUGAAAUGCGUAGAUAUCUGGAGGAAUACCGGUGGCGAAGGCGGCAUCCUGGACCGGCAUUGACGCUGAGGAGCGAAAGCUAGGGGAGCGAACGGG